rnacentral:rRNA from 1 species
CCCUUAGAUGUCCUGGGCGGCCCGCGCGCUACAAUGUCAGCUACUGAAGGUUAAUGCUUUGAAAGAGAGCGCGCUCUCCUUUUAAUUGCUCGCAUGCUGGGAUAAAUGAAUGCAAUUUUGUUUUUAACGAGGAAUUCCUAGUAGCCAUGUUUCACUAGAAGAUGGCGAAUGCGUCCCUGCCCUUUGUACACACCGCCCGUCGCUCCUACCGAUGAGCGUUUUGGCGAAGACGGUUUGAGUAGCUGCGUAAUUUCGUGUUGUUGACUCCGGCAGUUUGAGCCUUCACGUUUAGAGGAAGGAGAAGUCGUAACA